UUUAACUCCUUUUUAAUCUUUCAAAUAAAAUCAACUACUAGUUAUUUCAUUGUAGUUGUGAUUCUGGCUACUUCAAGCUGAUUUUUUUUACGUAGCCAAAAAGUUUAAUAAUAACCAUUAGUUGGUAGAAAUUGUCGAUAACUCGUCGAAGAAUGCAAAUUCAGUUUCAAUUUUGAGACAUUUUCUUGCUAAAUAAUAAUUUCAAAAAUAACAUAAAUUAUUUUUAAACAUACAAAUGAUUUUUUUGAUUAUACAUUUUUUAUUUCAACUUGUAAUUAAAUUUGACAAAAUCACCACAUUUCUCAUUUCCUUAUGAGGGAAAAACAUAUGAACUCCAUUUGUUUGAUAUUUAACCUAUUUAAAUCAUGAUUAAUAUUGAACAAUAAUAAGUGAUAAAAAUUAAAAACUAUUUUUAUAAGUAAAUUUGAUGACGCAAAACAAACAAAGUCAAAGUGAUAAGAUUGUUUGCAACGCAAAACUUUUACAAUCGUUACCAGUAAUUUCAUUCCCUGUAAAAUUCAACCCCGCACAUUUCCUUCCCCCUGUGUAGAGGGAUAUUCAGUGAAGUCAUAAGUCUCAAACUACUAAAACACUUAUUGUAUGGGGCUGGAAUGGGAGGCCCGGACUAUUGGCAGUUAGAGAUGACUAGUGAUUACUGAUAGAUGGACGAUCGUUAAUGAUAGACAGAUAUGAAUGAUUUUUGGUGUUAAUGAAUUAAAAAUGACGUCAUGAGAAAUCGUAAUAGUGUGUAGGAAUAAUGUGGAUAAUAUUCAUACCGUAUAGCCCCCAUAUGGCAUUCAUCUUCAGAGCUGACUACCAACUUCCAAGCCCGCCCUCUGCAUUCCUAAAUAAAAACGUCCUCGACACGAUUCUACUGGGUGCGACCACAUAACUUCCUUUUUUAUAAUGCAUGGUAAUCAGGCUGUAGAAUUGACCGGUUUGAUUAACAUUUUUUUUCGAAUUUUGAUUACGGUUAGUGCGGAAAAUGAGGUAUGCAAAAUUUUAUUUUUAGAAAUUAUUGUUCAAAGUUUGAAAGGAGACAUAAAUAUUGCAUAUGCCGCCAAUAACGAUCAAAAUACAGUAUUUAUAAAUAUUUUGCAUUAAUGAAUGAAAAUAAAUAAUUGCUAAUUUAA
rnacentral:lncRNA from 1 species